GAUGAACGCUGGCGGCGUGCCUAAUACAUGCAAGUCGAGCGAACAGACGAGGAGCUUGCUCCUCUGACGUUAGCGGCGGACGGGUGAGUAACACGUGGAUAACCUACCUAUAAGACUGGGAUAACUUCGGGAAACCGGAGCUAAUACCGGAUAAUAUAUUGAACCGCAUGGUUCAAUAGUGAAAGACGGUUUUGCUGUCACUUAUAGAUGGAUCCGCGCCGCAUUAGCUAGUUGGUAAGGUAACGGCUUACCAAGGCAACGAUGCGUAACCGACCUGAGAGGGGGAUCGGCCACACUGGAACUGGAACGCGGUCCAGACUCCUACGGGAGGCAGCAGUAGGGAAUCUUCCGCAAUGGGCGAAAGCCUGACGGAGCGACCCCGCGUGAGUGAUGAAGGUCUUCGGAUCGUAAAACUCUGUUAUUAGGGAAGAACAAAUGUGUAAUUAACUAUGCACGUCUUGACGGUACCUAAUCAGAAAGCCACGGCUAACUACGUG
rnacentral:rRNA from 1 species